rnacentral:rRNA from 1 species
AACGAACGCUAGCGGCAGGCUUAACACAUGCAAGUCGAACGAGAUCUUCGGAUCUAGUGGCAGACGGGUGAGGAACACGUGGGAACAUCCCUUUCAGUUCGGAAUAACGUUGGGAAACUAACGCUAAUACCGGAUACGUCCUUCGGGAGAGAGAUUUAUCGCUGAAAGAUUGGCCCGCGUCUGAUUAGCUAGUUGGUGAGGUAAUGGCUCACCAAGGCUACGAUCAGUAGCUGAUCUGAGAGGAUGAUCAGCCACAUUGGGACUGAGACACGGCCCAAACUCCUACGGGAGGCAGCGGUGGGGAAUAUUGGACAAUGGGCGCAAGCCUGAUCCAGCCAUGCCGCGUGAGUGAUGACGGCCUUCGGGUUGUAAAGCUCUUUUGUCCGGGAAGAUAAUGACUGUACCGGAAGAAUAAGCCCCGGCAAACUUCGUGCCAGCCGCCGCUAAAA